GAUGAACGCUGGCGGCGUGCUUAACACAUGCAAGUCGAGCGAGUGAGUUCUUCGGAACGAUCUAGCGGCGGACGGGUGAGUAACACGUGGGCAACCUGCCUCAUAGAGGGGAAUAGCCUCCCGAAAGGGAGAUUAAUACCGCAUAAAAUUAUCGAGUGGCAUCACAUGAUAAUCAAAGGAGUAAUCCGCUAUGAGAUGGGCCCGCGGCGCAUUAGCUAGUUGGUGAGGUAACGGCUCACCAAGGCGACGAUGCGUAGCCGACCUGAGAGGGUGAUCGGCCACAUUGGGACUGAGACACGGCCCAGACUCCUACGGGAGGCAGCAGUGGGGAAUAUUGCACAAUGGGCGCAAGCCUGAUGCAGCGACGCCGCGUGAGGGAUGAAGGUCUUCGGAUUGUAAACCUCUUUCAGUAGGGACGAAGCGAAAGUGACGGUACCUAAAGAAGAAGCACCGGCUAACUACGUGCCAGCAGCCGCCGUAA
rnacentral:rRNA from 1 species